GCUGCAGCAGAGCACAAGGUCACUGGGGGCUGGCAUCACCAGUUUCCUCCCCAUGAAAAUCAAAUGCUUUCGUUAGUUUCAGACAGUACUGAGAAAGCACAGUUCACAUCACAGAACUUGUCGUCAUCAUAGGCAAGUUCUAUCUCAUUUUUACGGAAGGCAUCAGUAAUACCAGCUGAUUAGAAAUAUCUUUGUCCAAGUUUUGUCAGUCCGCA
rnacentral:lncRNA from 1 species